rnacentral:rRNA from 1 species
GAUGAACGCUGGCUGCGUGCCUAAUACAUGCAAGUCGAGCGAACAGACGAGGAGCUUGCUCCUUCGACGUUAGCGGCGGACGGGUGAGUAACACGUAGGUAACCUACCUAUAAGACUGGGAUAACUUCGGGAAACCGGAGCUAAUACCGGAUAAUAUUUCGAACCGCAUGGUUCGAUAGUGAAAGAUGGCUUUGCUAUCACUUAUAGAUGGACCUGCGCCGUAUUAGCUAGUUGGUAAGGUAACGGCUUACCAAGGCAACGAUACGUAGCCGACCUGAGAGGGUGAUCGGCCACACUGGAACUGAGACACGGUCCAGACUCCUACGGGAGGCAGCAGUAGGGAAUCUUCCGCAAUGGGCGAAAGCCUGACGGAGCAACGCCGCGUGAGUGAUGAAGGUCUUCGGAUCGUAAAACUCUGUUAUUAGGGAAGAACAAACGUGUAAGUAACUGUGCACGUCUUGACGGUACCUAAUCAGAAAGCCACGGCUAACUACGUG